AGUCCAUCCCAUGAGGGGCAAGGCCAAGCUUUGAAAUACUCUUGUAUAGUUUUAGGAGGUGUGGUUAUUAAAUAAAGGAGUGUGAAAAAUGUAAAAUAAAGUCACAUUGUCCAUGUGACUUAGGAGAGUGGUGUAGGUGUAGUUUUUAGGAGGUGUCAUAGUAGAAAAAGGUCACACCUCCCAUGUGACUUGUUUUUGGUGGGAAUUUCAAAUGAGUUUAUUUGAAUUUUCCCACCUAUUUUUCAGCACCUCUAGGCUAUAAAUUAAGGUGUUGCCCUUGUACAUUU
rnacentral:lncRNA from 1 species